rnacentral:rRNA from 1 species
CACAAGCGGUGGAUGAUGUGGAUUAAUUCGAUGCAACGCGAAAACCUUACCUACCCUUGACAUGCUAGGAACUUGCCAGAGAUGGCUUGGUGCCCGAAAGGGAACCUAGACACAGGUGCUGCAUGGCUGUCGUCAGCUCGUGUCGUGAGAUGUCGGGUUAAGUCCCGCAACGAGCGCAACCCUUGUCAUUAAUUGCCAUCAUUCAGUUGGGCACUUUAAUGAGACUGCCGGUGACAAACCGGAGGAAGGUGGGGAUGACGUCAAGUCCUCAUGGCCCUUAUGGGUAGGGCUUCACACGUAAUACAAUGGUCGGUACAGAGGGUUGCCAACCCGCGAGGGGGAGCCAAUCCCAGAAAACCGAUCGUAGUCCGGAUUGCAGUCUGCAACUCGACUGCAUGAAGUCGGAAUCGCUAGUAAUCGCGGAUCAGCAUGUCGCGGUGAAUACGUUCCCGGGCCUU